rnacentral:rRNA from 1 species
AUUGAACGCUGGCGGCGUGCCUAACACAUGCAAGUCGAGCGGUAACAGGUGUAGCAAUACAUGCUGACGAGCGGCGAACGGGUGAGUAAUGCUUCGGAAUCUGCCCAUGUAGUGGGGAAUAACCAGCCGAAAGGUUGGCUAAUACCGCAUACGACCCUUGCCCACAAGGCAAAGGUGAAAGCAGGGGAUCGCAAGACCUUGCGCUAUUGGAUGAGCCGAAGUCGGAUUAGCUAGUUGGUAGGGUAACGGCCUACCAAGGCGACGAUCCGUAGCUGGUCUGAGGGGACGACCAGCCACACUGGGACUGAGACACGGCCCAGACUCCUACGGGAGGCAGCAGUGGGGAAUAUUGGACAAUGGGGCAACCCUGAUCCAGCGACGCCGCGUGUGUGAAGAAGGCCUGCGGGUUGUAAAGCAC